rnacentral:sRNA from 1 species
CGGAGCUGGGGCGACGAGGCGAUUGCGGGGGCCUGGGCUAGCUGCUGGCCACCAAUAUUCUACUUUCUGUCUCUAUGAAUGUGACUACCCUGGUUACCUCAUAUAAUCUCCCUGGAAACGGAGACAUGAAUGUCUGCAAUGAUACUUCCUGACAAGAAGUUGAUACAAGAAAAGGAAAGGAGAUUAACAGCUAGCCAGCAGAAUUUCGAACAACAGGAUUUCGUAUUUUUUGCUUCCAACUACACACUUCCGUUGCCCACUUUUAAAUCAGAGAUACCUACACUCAAAACCCAGACAAGGCAAAAGGAUACUUUUCUUGUAUAUUUUUUGAGAUCAAAGAAACGACAAUGUCCAGGAAACAGAACCAGAAGGGUAAGAUUAGAUGUGGGCAUAAAUUGUUACAAGCAUAGUUAUAAGGAUCCCCAUUUAUAGCUGUAUAUUUAAAAACUGUCCUUCUAAUGUGUUUUGAAUGGUUUUACAAGUAUUUAUGGAUAUUAGAUUAUCGCUUUGUGUAUUACCAGUCUGGGAAUUAAUUCAUAUAACAAUAGCUUUUCUACUCACACA